UCUCUCUACAUACCCCACCCCUCCCCUCUACAUACCCUACUCCUCCCCUCCGUUUGGAACAACAAACACUAAUAUUGUCAAAUUUAUGGGUUUGUUCGCUUUGUAGUUAGAGAAAUCAGGGGCACGAUCUACACGAUCUACAGGUGAAUCAGCUCUCCUCUACAGUUAGAGAAAAUUCAGCAGCUUGGAGGAUAUGGUGCAUCUCUCUAGUUCUGUUAGAGGUUUGGGGAUUCUCGAUUUCCAUCUUCCCACAUUUUAUCAGCCGUACGUCUCUCUCAGUUCAAAAUAAUGAGCUUUAGUUUGUUGGAGGAAUAUUAGCAAGAAGAUAAGAUCCAAAGCUUGCGUCAAUUACUAGAACACAUUCUAAAUUGUUGUAAAGAGAAUCGUUCUUGUCUUCUUACUUCUAGUCGGAUUAUGGGUCUGCUGGAUGAUUGAGUAUUCUUCUCUUUGGGCUUCUCUUCAUACUGCUCAUCUUCACCUUGCUGCAACUAAUAAUCUGGAAACAUUCUUGGAAUUUCCAUCAGUCUAAAGGUUGAGAUCCAGAAACUAGUUCAAUCUGAUUCAUCUCUUACUAAUACUGAGGUCGUUGAAAAGUGCUUUGGACCUCAAUGUAAGAGUCAUGUGAUUGGAUUUGGAGGUGGGAUAAUAGCUAAGGAGUUGAAAGGUGGUAACUCUUUAAAGGCUGCAUUGUUAGAUAAGUUGAACGCAAGUGGAAAAGAAAAUGAAUUAUUAAAAAAAUGCAUGGAUGAGUUGGAGAAUAAAUGUCAACGCAUGGAUGAGUUGGAAAAUAAAUGUCAACGCAUGGAUGAUCUCGAGAGCAAAUAUGAACAACUUGCAAGUGUAGUGUUUGGUGAACCUACAUCACCGCCAUCUUCCACUGAUCAAUAGAUGAACUAGUCAACAUGUUAGUAGAUUGAUUUUUUUCUCUAUGAUAAAAUGAUUCCAAUGCUAUAUGAAAUUCUUUUAGUUCAACAGUGGACGUCUAAUGGCUCUUCUUUCUUCUCCUUAUGUGGUGGGCUUAUUACUUGUUGAACCUCAGAGGAUGUGUCCCCUUAGAUUGUUGUUGCAUCAGUAAAUCUACAUUGAUACCCCUCCGCCUUUACUAUAAUGUUUAUUUCUAUUUUCCUUUUCUUUCGAAUUCUUUCCCUCUCUUGGUGUUUCAGCUGAAAUAAGGUUGUAAAGUUUAAUGGUUGUUUUGUAUAUGUAGAUGAAUUGUAUGGUGUUCUUUUUGAUUGGAUGCUGCUCUUUGAAAUAUUUGUGUCUUAAUGUCCUUGAAUUGAUGUCUCUUUAUUACCAUGAGAGUGUGGAAAUUCUGAUAUGAGAGCAUUGUAAUUUAUCUAUGUUUAUGAGUUUUCUCCCUUCAUUUAUCAUUUCUUGAAACCCAUGUGUUAUACAUUUCAUCUAAAGCCUGGUUAGCUAGAGUGUCUUGUAGUUUAUUCAUUUUCCUCAUAAUGUGGUAUAUCAAUGGUUGUCUAGCUACUAGAAUAUGAGGAAUCUCAUUCUAUGCUCCAUGUUUUGUAUCAUUUCCCUUCCAUCAUAAUUUUUAGGAGCACUAAUUUUGUCUAUAGAGUCAAAUUCCUGUAGUUUGUUUGUUACAGUGUCUACAAGACUUGGAUUGCCUUAGCUUUUGCCUAUGUAUUAGUAGUCUACUCCAGCUAUAGUGUCUACAAGCCUCUAGUAUUGCCUUAGCCUGUGUAUUAGUAGUCUACUCCAUCUCUGCUUCUUUUGUAUAAAGUAGAUCAGCCUAACACAGAAGCCUCUGCUAUUUCCAUAAUCUUUCUAUAACUUUUUUUUUUAGAAUAUUUCAUCUUUCUAUAUCAUUUUCACUUCCCCAAUACUGUCUUCUUGAUAUUGGUUCUGUUUUAUAAUCAUAAUUUUGAUCAUUUUACAUGCCCUAAUCUGUAGCACUGCAUGUAAUUAAGAAAAAUAAUUUAUCUUCCGUUGUUUAUACAAGAACGUAGAUUUAUGUGGACGAACAACUGUCAUUAUCAUACUUUUUGUGAGAAGAAGAUAGGCUCAUAAAGAGCAGAGAAACUAAUGCUAACUGUGAUAGUUUCUGCUCAUGUAUUACGUCUCUUAUACUCUUCAAUUGUUGUAUUAGUAUAGCUGUAAUGAACCUUGAUAAUGCUAAUUGACUUUUUUUGUGUUCUGAAAUUUUAUACUUCCAUAGCACCAUACAGUAGUACUAGUAGUGUGCAGCAACAGUAACCAUAUCUAACCCUCUUCCUAAUUACAUUUUGAACUUGCUGCAUAACAUGAUUGGUAUUCACAUUUUGUCCUUGAAAAUUCUUCUUGUUCAUGGCAAUCCAGAUAUUGUAAAUAGUAGCUCCGUACACGGCUUCCAUAACCUCCUUGAAUCUAUUGCAAUUCUUCACUUUAAUCUGCAAUAAUACACCAUCCACACAUCUGUUUUGUACUCUGAACUCAAUCCAGCUCAAGAAUUUCAAAGUGAAGAACUUAUCAUUCAAGAAAGUAAGGAGCAAGUUGAAGUUCACAAGGAUUUUAAAAGACUAUCUUAUGCAUAUAUAUGUUGCAAAUUUCAUUUUUUUAAAUUAGGAGUUGAUAUACGCAAUUUGGAUAUGGGAUAUAUAACUUUCUUUAGAAAAUCAAUGAUGAUGUUUUAUAUCAAUUUAAUUUUUAUUUUA